AAAAAAAAAAAAGAAAAAGAAAGAAAGAAAAUAAAGCACUUGAAGGGCACGAUAAGCCAACUUGAUUUAACAGGCACACAGAACACUGUACCUAACAACAACAGAAUACACAUCCUUCCCAAGUACACAUGGGACAUUUUCCAGGAAAGGCGGUAAGUUAGGCUACCAAUUAGGCCUAGAUUCAACAACAUAGAUAUCAUACAAAGCAUAUUCUCCAAGAACAAUGGGAUGAAGUUAAAAAUCAAUAAAUGAGGCCAGGC
rnacentral:lncRNA from 10 species